UACGUAGGGGGCUAGCGUUGUCCGGAUUUAUUGGGCGUAAAGAACGUGUAGGCGGCCAUGUAGGUCCGGUGUGAAAACUCGAGGCUUAACCUCGAGAUGUCAUCGGAAACCAUUUGGCUAGAGUCCGGAAGAGGAGAGUGGAAUUCCUGGUGUAGCGGUGAAAUGCGCAGAUAUCAGGAAGAACACCAAUGGCGAAAGCAGCUCUCUGGGACGGUACUGACGCUGAGACGCGAAAGCGUGGGGAGCGAACAGG
rnacentral:rRNA from 1 species